UUCAGCAUGGCUUGCCGCCGCCACCGCCUCUUCCUGUUGUCAUAGCAACAGGAUCCAGGCGCCCAGCCAAGGUUGGCAGCGGCGGCCGGAAAUGAGGGGAGGGCCUUUUUAAAAAGACCCCAGGAAUGCUCUUCCCUCUUUCCUCCCCCCCCCAAAAAAAAUCAGGGGAAAGCUCAACUUCUCAGGGUCUUUUUUUCUCUUUCCCCAAGUAGCGGGGCCAAAGAUUUCUUCUAAAUGAACUAUAAUUCAUUUACAAGCAUAGCAAGCAUUUUGAGUUUUACCAACAAUUUUUUUUUUCUUGGUACCCUCUGCUUCUACCGUAGUUUAACCCCGAUGGAAAAGGAGGAUGCCGUUCGGUUCCCAUCAAGACAAGAAUCGGGUUGGGGAGCAAAGCGGAGAGAUAAAUGUAUCUAGGACGGUGCUGGAGAGCUAGGCAACAGUUGUGAACUUAGCUGUCACUUCUAGAGCUAACCAGCGAGUAUGGGAUGGGCCAAUCUGAGGUAGAAAAUAGAUAAUUACAACUUUGGCCUUGGUCCUGAUUUUGGAGACCGCCCUUUGCUUCUGGGUGACCUUGGGCCAAACACUUCCUGUCCUAAACUCAGCCAUUCUGAGGACCGAAGUUACCUUCAGAAUCUUUGGGAAGUGGGCAAGCUAAGAUUCUGAGAUGUGAGGCCAUCCGUUCAAGAUCACGCAGGGGAUACAGGCAGAGCUGGGAUAAGGCAGCCUUUUUGUGGAGAGAGGCCAGCAAUGGAUAGAAAAGAAAACCAAAGCCUCGGAAAUUAAAAAGACUUGCUCAAGGUCACAGCAUGAGUUUGCAUAAAAUCCGUGGUGGUAAAACGUAGCAGCUGGGGACAGCAAGAUGGCUCAGCAGUGAGCGCUUAAGCUCUCUUCACAGCCAGUGAGGACCUUGAACUCCUGUUCCUCCCGCUCCCAUCUCCUGGCCUGGCUGAGAAUGAAACUCAGGGCCUCAGGUAUGCUAGGCAAUCACUGUACCAGCUGACCUACACCCCAAGUUUUGUUUGUUUGUUUGGUUUGUUUUUGUUUGGUUGGUUUGGUUUUUUAAGACAGGGUUUCAUUUCUCUGUGUAGCUAUGGCUGUCCUGGAACUCUCUCUGUAGCCCAGGCUGGCCUCAAACUUAGAGAUCCCCCUGCCUCUGCCUUCCAAGUGCUGGGACUGAAGGUGUGCGCCACCACCGCCCAGCUUAUUUUUAAUUCCAUUAUUAUUACGGGGAGAAAGGGAAGUAAUCUCAAGCAUUCCAUUGCAAGAGUGGGUUCUAGGACUCAAGCAGAGCCAUCUUGGUGGGCUUAUUUUGUUUUUUAAGAAAGCCUUGAAAGUUUGCCUAGAACUUGCAGCAAUCCUCCUGCCUCUGUCUCCCAAGUCCGGAAUUACAAACCUGGUCAUGUGGUGUUCUAUUUUUGAAGACAAAGUAUUACUUAGUCCUGGCUGUCCUAGAACUCACAGAGAUCUGUCUGCCUCUGCCUUCUGAGUGCUAGGAUUGAAGGCAUGCACCAUUCGAAAGAUCUAGUCAGAAUAAUAGCACUUUACCCUCAGGAGAAACCAGUACCAUAAGCCCAUUGUUUCUGAUGCCCUCCCUUUUGUUAGGCAGAGACGUGUUUGAAAUAAAGUUUAUUGAAGUUUCUGUCGGUAUUUACAUAUGAUACACGGUAAAUAACAGAGCCAGGCCCCCCACCCCACCAUUUCCCCACCCUUACCGCUUCCCUCCCCCUCCCCCAGCCUCAUUAAAAAUCGCUGCGUAAAGACAGGUUAUAACUGCUGCGGUUCCCCCACCCCCUCCCACCUAAGAUGCAAACUAAAAGCCCCGUCCCUCCCCUGCCCCCCUCCCCCCACCCUGGGGCCGUUCUGGUUCCGUGUGUUAACACUGUGCUACCUCUCCCCUCCUCCCUUAAUAAAGGGGGUGGGGUGGGCGGUUUUCUGGCGACCACCCCCCGAAUCUGUCCUAGGGGGCGGACGGGCCCUUGAAAGAGGCCAGAGUUGGGGGAUCUGAGAUAGGAAGAGGGACAUGGAUGAGAGGGAGUACCAGAAAAUGGAAGACAGAGGUUUUGGGGGGUGUUAACCCCCGCUACUACCCCUCCCUCCCCCGAUGGGACCUCGAGGGGGGAGAGGCGGGCACAGGUGUGGAGAUAGCAUGAGGGAACCUCCCUCCACCCUGGGGUCCCAUCCUUGUUUGGUGUGAGAGGCUGGAUGCACCUAGGGGCUUCGGAUGAGCAAGUGGAGGAAGGAAAAGAAGAGGAGGAAGAAGAAGGAAAGGAGGAAGAGGAGGAGGGAGAGGAGGAGGAGGAAGAAGAAGGAGAGGAGGAGGAGGAAGAAGGAAAGGAGGAGAAGGAAGAAGAAGG